rnacentral:rRNA from 1 species
UACGAAGGGGGCUAGCGUUGCUCGGAAUCACUGGGCUUAAAGGGCGCGUAGGCGGCUCGCGAGGUCGGGGGUGAAAUCCCACGGCUUAACCGUGGAAGGGCCUUCGAUACCGGCGGGCUCGAGGAAGGUAGGGGUGCGCGGAACUUCUGGUGGAGCGGUGAAAUGCGUUGAUAUCAGAAGGAACGCCGGCGGCGAAAGCGGCGCACUGGAUCUUUUCUGACGCUGAGGCGCGAAAGCCAGGGGAGCAAACGGG